GGAGGGGGGAGGAGGAGUCACGAGGAGGGUGGCCCGGCCGGCCGAGCCCUCUGCCCUCCGCCCUAGCUAGCACCCCGGUCCUGGCCAGCCACGCGCGGUACUCCUCGCCGCUCCCCUGCCUUCUUAGGAGCUCUGGAGGCCAUCGCAACGGGAGAUGCUCUCUGGGCAUUUGAGGAAAGAACUAGUUGUGCUCCUACAAUGGUACUCGCCCGACCAGUAUUUAUUGAUGCCCGCGAUGCCCUGGGGGGACAAGGGACACAAAACUGAGACCGACUCGGACCCUGCCCGCCCUCAAGUUGCUCGAAGAUUGAUAGAGAUCGGAUCUCUGCGACUUGUUCCUUGGUCCUGAUAGUGACGCUCAACAGCUCAGGUGACCGCUCUGCUCCACAGCAACUCUCCUCACUGACCCCAGGCGCUCACUCUCCUUUCUGUGCUCACAACUUUACCUCACAUUUUCAGCUUCCCACGGACAAAAAUAGUAUAGAGAUAUUCGUCAUUUUUGAGAUCAGGAAAUAAAAAUAAAGAUGAAAGAUGAAAGAAAAAUUCUGGUGCCAAGAAGGAAGAUAAGUGCUCCGCGAAUAUUGAUAAAUGAAGAUACCAUGAUUCCCAAAUACCAGUUAUCGUUUAAAAGAAAAAA